rnacentral:lncRNA from 1 species
CCCAGUGUGGAAGCUUUAGUUCUUUUGCUCUUUGCAAUGAAUCUUGCUGCUGCUCACUCUUUGGGUCCACGCUGCGUUUACACUGUGUUUAUGAGCUGUAACACUCACCACAAAGGUCUGCAGCUUCACUCCUGAAGCCAGCAAAGACCACGAACCCACCAGGAAGAAGGAACAACUCCAGACACGCAGCCUUAAGAGCUGUAACACUCACUGCCAAGGUCUUCAGCUUCACUCCUGAGCCAGCCAGACCAUGAACCCACCAGAAGGAAAAAACUCGGAACACAUCCCAACAUCAGAAGGAACAAACUCUGGACAUGCCGCCUUUAAGAACUGUAACAACGCAAGGGUCCGCGGCUUUAUUCUUGAAGUCAGUAAGACCAAGAACCCAAUUCCGGACACGUUUGGACCAUGGAAAGGCAGCUCAACAUCUGAGAAGCCAGUCUUACUCCCUGCAGGCAACAGCUGCUUCCAGAAAACAGCCCUAUUACUUCACCAAAGUACAGUUCCUACAGGAAGAUAAUGAUCUGACCUAACCUACUAUUGGCUGAAGGAAGGAGAAAAGCAGCUGAAGAUGUCUGUUGAGUGAUUACCCUCAUAAUCCGUGACUAAGAACAUCCAAAUCAGCAUGGCUUCUUCCUGUCUGAAAUUAUUACUACUUAGGGUUUUUCACGUGUUAUUUCAUUUAUUGAUUAUUCUGUUUUAAACUUGCAAGACGUAUUGUCUCUUCAGAAAUAAAACUUU